rnacentral:lncRNA from 1 species
CUGUGAUCCUGGGAACCCACAUUUUCCCCAAUUUCCCUCUGUGAGGAAAAGGACUCCAUCUCAGCUGCUCUCCAUGGCCUUGAUUCAUGGGCCUAGGAGGAAGGUGCCAUCUCCACCCACAGAAAAUGCUAGUUCCAGACCUGGCCCCACUCACUUCUCAAGAUCUCCAAUUUCAGGAAAAGAAUUAGACCCCUUCCCUGCCCCGAAAGGACACUGGGCAGCCUCUCCCUUGGGAUCCCAGAGAAUUGAAAAGAGAUUGAAAAGGAUGCGUGUAACAUAACCCAAGUCUUGGAAGAAGGCUGAGACUCUUCGGGAUAAUAAAACACAGGAGAUACGCUAACAGCCCAGGACAUCUGAUGUAUGUUAGAGAUCCACCUGGAAACCAGAUGACCACAGUGGCCUCCCUCCACCCCACCAGCAGGGUCUGAGACUCCCUCUGCCAUCUCCAGCCACAGGACUGGGCAAAGUGGGGACUCCUGUCCAGACUCUGUGUGAUCCAGGGACGGGGAACACCCAGGCCAGGCCAAGAGCUGCCACUUUAGGGAGAAGACAGAUAGAAAAGCACUGGGAACAAGGUGACAAGGAAGACAACAGUGUCCAAGAGAAACUGAUUCUGCUCACCUCAAGCAGAGUUAUG